rnacentral:lncRNA from 1 species
UAAAACACACGCAGCAAGCAAUGACACGCAGCAAGCAAUGAGAACAAAGGACAGAACUGUCGAACUGAAAUAAAUUGUGCAGUCUUUACAUCAUCCAUUGUAAACUUAUCAAAAGAAAACACUGUUUAACUUAGACUAUCCUUGGGUCAUCCAGAGGCCACAAGAACCCCAAGGCCUUUUCAGCCACAAUAACGAUUAAAUGGACACUAGCACCAGCACACUAGCACCAGCACCGUGAUGGAAUCCAAAAUGCAGUUUGAAAUUAAAAGAUGAAGUGUGCAUAAUGGAACUAUUCUAAUUGUAAAGGUCAUCUUCAUCGGCCCCAGCACUACUAGUUGCAAAAGGAUCAGAUCCAGUUGUGGCCGCAGCAGAGCCAGUUUCUGGAAACCUAAACUCAGUUCCAAAUCCUCUUGACUGCUGCAGUGUCUGAGCAAAUGCCUGGUAUUUGCGGAUAU